GACGAACGCUGGCGGCGUGCUUAACACAUGCAAGUCGAACGGAAAGGCCCUGCUUUUGUGGGGUGCUCGAGUGGCGAACGGGUGAGUAACACGUGAGUAACCUGCCCUUGACUUUGGGAUAACUUCAGGAAACUGGGGCUAAUACCGGAUAGGAGCUCCUGCUGCAUGGUGGGGGUUGGAAAGUUUCGGCGGUUGGGGAUGGACUCGCGGCUUAUCAGCUUGUUGGUGGGGUAGUGGCUUACCAAGGCUUUGACGGGUAGCCGGCCUGAGAGGGUGACCGGCCUCAUUGGGACUACGGUACGGACCAGACUCCUACGGGAGGCAGCGGUGGGGAAUAUUGCACAACGGGCCGAAGCCUGAUGCAGCAACGCCGCGUGCGGAAUGACGGCCUUCGGGUUGUAAACCGCUUUCGCCUGUGCCGAAGCGUGAGUGACGGUAAUGGGUAAAGAAGCACCGGCUAACUACGUG
rnacentral:rRNA from 1 species